rnacentral:misc_RNA from 1 species
GACUGUAUACGUGCAAACUGUGGUCACUAGAUGUUGGGACUGCCAGAGCGAGGUCACGCGUCUCGUGGAGGAAGCUGCAAUCUUACUCCUUAGUAGCUUCCAUCUUCUCCUAUUCUACAGCGUUACCGUGGUUACAGAUUUACAACAUCUCUUGACUGGUAACUAAACAACGGGGGAAAUGUGUUAGAAAUAUUUUUAUUUUUGCAGUGGCUUUAGGGCAAACCAAAGGUUCUCACGGAAAUUCCUGCAACGCCUUCACUAAGAUGGACAUGCACGGAACAAAGUGAAUCAUCUGUCGAUGACGUCAUAUUCGUGUUUCCUGAAGGCAGUGUAUCUCAACCAGUGAUUAGUUGGCUUGAUGUUUGAAAUCAGAUGUUUAUAAUCGCUCUUGGUCUAAGUAUUUUGGAAAUAUUUUAUGAAAUGAUUCUCAGUUGAUUCUCAAAACGUUACAAUGAGAUCCAACAUCAGUACUAACAGAAGACGCCAGGGGUCAUUUUCUCUGACUUGUCGUAAGCCACGCCUGAAUAGCUUGUGUUCCAUCUGGUAUUCCAUUCUAGCACUCGCCUUUCAAAUCUACAUUAUCGUCCAUAGUGUUCAAAGUUUCGUCAAGUAUAUAUCCUUGCCGUGGCCAGUGGAAAAUCAGCCUUUUCUAGAACUCAACGCGUACGUGGCUCUGAUUGGAGCAGCUCUAAUUCUCCUACCGUUCUUCACAGUCGCCGGUAUUCUUAAAGUUGGUAACUUUUCUAAUGAUGGCGGAAAAUGGGGUAGAAACGAUGACGACAACGGGGCUAUUUAUCAAAACUUACGAAGGGAUAAACCGAAACGGUGGGUGAAAAUGCUAUGGAAACACGGUGCACCUACAGCACCUUUCCUCCAUGUCUGCGCAGCAUUUUGUUUGUUGUUACCCAGGGUGUUGAUCCAGGCUCGAUUGAUCCAGCAUGGAUUUCUUAGCAAAGCCGAUCUGUGGAAAACGGACCUGGAUUUUAUGAUUACUCACAAAGACCGCAUCGUGGCUUUGAAGUUUCUCUCGACGAUAAACGAGACUGAGUUGUGGCGAAAAGAAGCAAUGGAGCAGCAGAACCGACCGAAGACAGUGACUGAAGGACACCUAGAAGACAUGGCGCCUGUCUCGGCAGAGUUUUUGAACUACGGGUUGGCGUUAUUCGUGUACGCAGUUCGUUACCCCUCUGUCUUCUGGCGUGUAAAUAAGAGCUUCGCCCUGGUUUUUUCAAUUGAGUUUGUUCUCACAGCUUUGCAACAACUUUUGGCUUUCACUGGGUUUACUGUCCUCUACAAAAUUCAUAUCUACGGACCUUCAGAGGUUCUACUGAAGUUCAAUCCAAUGUUGCUCAACGUCUCCUUAAGCCUGUUGCUUUUUAUUCUCUACAAUAUCAUUCUAACGAUGUCUGCUAGUGUCCUCUACAUCUACGGGUUACAGAAGUUCCGUGAGAACGAGGAACAACAGAUUCGGAAACGCCACAUCACCUGGGUUGAGGAGUCUCGCCGUUCGUGUGGUUACAUCCCUCAUCUGAGUGCUCUCUUGACACUCUUGAUGAUAAUAUCAAGUGCAACACCGCUGAUGUACGACUAUAUGUUAGUCUACUGUGGUAGUCUGGAUGGAACAGUUUUGGCUGGAGUAACUGGUACCAUAUUGCACGUUAUUUUGUGGGUGCUGUUAUGGGUAGGUCUUAGCCUUAAACAAAGAUGGUGGUUUAAGAAAGCUAAUAAUCAACAAAGAUCAACUAAGGACACUGAACUGGAACUGUUAAAUGGAAUAAAAGAGUUACCAUUACUUGUCAUUGAAAAUGGCCACACCUACCAGGUAAGAGAACAGGCAUCAAAGCAGGCUAUCUUGGACAUCGCAUUGUCAUCUGCUAUAAAUGAAAAAUCGAAAUCUCCUGACGAAGACGACAACGUGUACUGGCUGAAACCCAAGUUUCCUCUUCCAAAAACUACAGAUACUUCACCCGAAGAGGACAUGAUACCAUGGCGACAAAUUAACCGAAAAUCUUCUUUUUCCAGGCAACACAAAGUCACUUUCGAAGAUAAGCUAGCUGGUGCUUCUGUUAAGCGCACAAAAUCCCUGACUAGCAAAUCUCCAAACGUUAUUAGCAAAGGAAAGAAGUCACACGUAAAAUUCGAAGACGGAUCUAACUUCAGCUACAAUGAUGGAGAUUAUGCCUCAUUACGAGAGUUAGUCAAAGCCAGGGAUGAGGACUUCGAGAGUCCAACUCUAAAGCGUCUACACUCACUCCGGUACAGUGGAAGUCCACGCCCUCUGCUGGACGAUGGAGACUAUGGUAUUCUCCUCGAUAAUCGUCGUUUGCCAAAUAGGAUCAUGGCUCCUGUUAUUGUUCACACCCAUCUCCAGCCUGAUCCUGGGAACUCGACCCCACGGAGCACAGACUCAGGGAUCACUAAAAGCCACGUAGACGACAGGAACUCCCAGGAUAAUCCUGCUUCCAGCUCAGGAUCUGUGAGCGAGGCUUCUACUUCUCCUGAUAAGGCUGCUAGCGAUUCUUCGAGCGGGGUCCACUCCAGCUAUAGUAUGGCGGACAAAAGGUCCUCUAGCCUAGAAAACAUACCAGCAAUGGAGCCUCCAAAAUUUAGGUGGAAAAACCUAUCCUUACAAAGGAACGUGGUUCCUCCUGCAGGCAGUGAUUUGACUGCUGGGUUGUUUCCUCCAUUACUCCCAGAAAAUAAAAUAUAUGAUGACCCAUAUGAAACAACUAUGGUGAUUCGGCGUCAGCAAAAACGAUCCGAAGAUACUCAAGAUGGCAACUGUUCUGAACGCUUUGGCCGAGCCACAAAUAUGCGAAUGAUGUCAUUUACCGAUCAACCAGACUAUUUGGGGAGUCAGGUAUUCUCCAGUACCACCGAUGGUGAUCAUUCAUUGUUUUGGACUCCGCCAUCUAACACGGACAGCAGUGAAAUUUAUCGUAAGACCCCUUUUGGUGGGCAUCCUUCUCAUAGUGUGGGUCAACAAGAUCGAAGAGAUUCAGCUAACUAUUCCCUAGCCUCCUCCGGGGAUUCGGAAAACGUCACUCCUCAUUUCUGAUUCGUUAAAAGUGAGAGAUGUGUCGUCUCCCGAUUACGUCAAAGUAGAAAGGUACAUAAGUGUUGACGUCAAACUCCAGUGAGUGGCUAAUCCGAGUCAGUCGAACUUUAGGCUUAGUGCAGCUCUGUCAGGAACUGACUGCCAAAGCUGUCAUUAGCCAAAUCGGCGAUGUACAGAUAUUUGAUAUAAACUUUAUUUACGUAUUUUAUUCAAGAAUUUCUGUAAAAUAAGUCAAAAUUCGUGCACCUGUUAGCUCGUUCACUGUCAAUUGUAUUAAAUUUAAUAUCUAUGUACAUAUUUACCUGUCAAGGUGUACACGUACAGAUGGCACUACAGUGCUAAGUCAUUCCGUGUCGAGAGCUCGUGUAAAUGUAAGAAUAGGCUUGUUUUAGGCUUCCGUAACAAAGCUUCAUUCCAGUUCUUCCAGCCAAAUAUGGAGUAAGAUAUGGAAUCAGAAUAUUUCAAGAUAACUGAAAGAUAUCGGAGUAUGUAUGCAGUUAGGGUAACAGUUUUAAAGAUCAAAAUGUCCGACAUUAUUCGACCUGUUAUAAGAAGAAGGAGAAUGAAAACAGCUCGGACGUUUCUUAUCUAGAAACUAACCUUGUGUACAGUUCUUGAUACUGUAUUUUAAAGAUUCUUGAAAAUAUUAUUCAAUGUUCUUUCAAUCAGAUUUGUGAUUCGUUUUCACUCAAAAAAUAAACAAAUCUUGCAAAGUUUAAUUUUGUUAUUACAGGUUUAAAAAAUUGUUUGUUUUACACAAGCAAAAAUUUUAGUUCACUGAUGAACUAAAUAGAUGUGAAAUAAUUUUAUACAAUUAUAUAAAAUCUAUUACUCGUGUGAUUGAUUUUGAACAAAACUACUUGCAACUCGUAAAUCUUUCGCAGAACCUUAUUUACUCAUAUUAAUAAUAAUAAUAGCACAAUAUUUUUUGUUGCAAAAAUAAAAUUCACUUGAAUUAAUUUAUUUUUUGCACAAAACAAACAUUUAUUUUGUUUGUACAUUUAUUCACAUUAAUCAAUUCGUUUUAAUUAAUAUUUUCUUUAGCCUAAAUGUUUCUUCAUUUUUUCUAGUUUCGCAAGUUAGAAUUUUUUUUCACACAUAUUUAACACGCAAAGUUGUAAGCUUAAGAAUAUGGAUCUCAUUUCUUCAUUAAUACACUACAUGAUACAUUGUGUUGAAGUGAAAUUAUUUUAUAUUUAUGUGUAUGUAAUUGUUUGUGAUAAAUCUAUACUUAUAAUCUAUAUUAUCGGCCAUUUUUUAAAUAUUGUUUACUGAUAUUAGAUGAUUUUUUCAGUGGUUGUUAUAUUUUGUGAGUGUUUAUGCUGU